rnacentral:rRNA from 1 species
CUACUCUUGACAUCCACGGAAUUCGGCAGAGAUGCCUUAGUGCCUUCGGGAACCGUGAGACAGGUGCUGCAUGGCUGUCGUCAGCUCGUGUUGUGAAAUGUUGGGUUAAGUCCCGCAACGAGCGCAACCCUUAUCCUUUGUUGCCAGCGAUUCGGUCGGGAACUCAAAGGAGACUGCCGGUGAUAAACCGGAGGAAGGUGGGGAUGACGUCAAGUCAUCAUGGCCCUUACGAGUAGGGCUACACACGUGCUACAAUGGCGCAUACAAAGAGAAGCGACCUCGCGAGAGCAAGCGGACCUCACAAAGUGCGUCGUAGUCCGGAUCGGAGUCUGCAACUCGACUCCGUGAAGUCGGAAUCGCUAGUAAUCGUGGAUCAGAAUGCCACGGUGAAUACGUUCCC